GAACUGCUAAUCCCGGAAUGAGCCGAAAGGUAAAAGAUUUUUCGCCGGGAGAUGAGCUCGCGUCUGAUUAGCUAGUUNGUGAGGUAAAGGCUCACCAAGGUCAACGAUCAGUAGCUGGUCUGAGAGGAUGAUCAGCCACACUGGGACUGAGACACGGCCCAAACUCCUACGGGAGGCAGCAGGGGGGAAUUUUCCGCAAUGGGCCCAAGCCUGACGGAUCAAGACCGCGUGGGGGAGGAAGGCUCUUGGGUUGUAAACCUCUUUUCUCAAGGAAGAACACAAUGACGGUGCUUGAGGAAUAAGCCUCGGCUAACUCCGUGCCAGCACCCGCGGUCUUACGGACGAGGCCAGCGUUAUCCCGAAUGAUUGGGCCUCAAGCGUCCGUAUGUCCCAGUUCAAGUCUGGUGUCAAAUACAGUACCUCAACUACUGAAAGGCAGUGGAAACUGACCCUCUAAACUACGGUAGGGGCACAGGGAAUUCCCGGUGUACCGGUCAAAUGCGUAUAUUUCGGGAAGAACACCUGUCCGAAACGCUCUGUUGGGGCGUAACUUACACUGAGGGAAGAAAAAUUUGGACUUACG
rnacentral:rRNA from 1 species